ensembl:lncRNA
CUCAAAUUAAAGCUAAUGAAUAGCCACAAUACUGUCUCAAAAGGGUUGAAAACACCUGUUCCAACAGCUGAGGCCAAUUGCUCAUUGACUAUAUAAAGUGUGGGUACUCCCUACUAUUAUCCUGCUGCUUUGCAAUAGGUACAGUCCGUUGGGGAGUAACUGCUGUCCUGGGUCGUUGGAGAGCAUAACUAGCCAGGUUUUUCUCUUAACCUGCUCCUGGAAACCCUUUCUAACCGCAUAUUUUGUUCUUAAUUCUUUUCUGCUGACUUCAGUUAACUGCGAAUUUCCCAUCGGUUGUUUUUUGUUUUUGUUUGUUCAUGUCUUUACUGUUCUAGUGGGGCUUGAUUUUCUUCUUUGUAGAGUACUGAAGUUACUUAGCAAAUGAGCGUACGCUGGUUUUCUUGGUUGUGGGGAUUACUCGUGAUCGCACGCUAACAGGUUUCCACCUUAGUCCAUUGCUUGUGAUCAGGCAAGUUCACUUGUGAUGAGGCAAUUGGUAACCAUCUUGCGUAGUGACCUGGGUGUAGUCAAAUCUACUGUCUUUGGUGGUAGGUGUACAAAUUACCACCAGUGGUCCGCUGUGCCUAUGGGGUGACAUUUUAGUCUGCCCUGGGAACUAGUUUGUAAAGCCUCCUGUGAAACUGGCUCUUAGGGCUUUGGGGUUGAAAUGCUGAGGCCUGAUAUAGGUCAACGUUGAUUCAGGGACUAUGGUUGUAGAUCACAAUCUUGCAGUAUAUCCUAUGUUUCUAGUAUUAAUGGUACCUAUGAGAUGUAGUUAACUGAUAUUUUGCUAUAUGAGGAGGAAUACAUUUAUUUCAGUGAUUACCUGCCGAGCUAUGUUAUAAUGUUGAUUGUGCUACAGUAAUGGUAGUACAAUAUCUUUCUUUAUCAUGAUAGAAUUUUUACUGUAAUGUGUUUUACCAGGCUAAGCGUGCUGCAAGGGACCAAAGAGGCCAGUAGUGGACCAAAACAGAUAGCACUUCUCCCUUGGUUCCUCCUUGAACCCUGGCCAGGUUUUGGGAGAAAACCAACAGGAGACAGAGGAAACCAGAUGUUCCGCCUGACUGUUUCAUAGAUUGGUUUGUUUAGUGACACAAAAGCUGGACCUGCUUGCAGCGACUAUGGAGACCUCGACUACGGGGUGGACGCACUGCCGUAGGCCUUCCCAGUUGCCGGGACGGGUUCUCCAGAUCCUCGCUGCAACCAGGGCUCCCCAGCAGCUGCGGAUCUGGAUGGUGGUCAAAGUAGUAGAGUAGUGAUUGAUAAGUAGACUCAAAGUUAAAGAAUUGUUCAGGUUGGACAAGACCUUCAAGAUCAAGUCCAACCACAACUGAACCAUGCAACCCUAACUCUAGCAACCCACUGCUCGAUGAUGUCCUUGAGCACCAUGUCUAGAUUGUUUUUAAACACAUCCCUGUACCUUUCUUAAUCAGUAUUGCUAACUUACAUAGAGUGAUUAAAUGCUUUACUUUGCUUAUUUUCUUUAUCAUUUCUCUAUCUUUUGGCUAUAGGCACUGCUCUAUAUUUGCAUCGUUUUGAAAUGCAGGGUAAAAUAUGCUUAUUUCUUCAGUUGGUGUCUGUAUACUUCCUGUUAACCCUGUCAGUUGGCAAAGCUUCUGGUGUCAUAUAGCAGAUUUGAACAAAAUGUCACUGUUUAAAUUUAAGCAGAAUGUCUUUGCUCCAUCUGAGCUUCCUAGAUGUGAGCGGGUUCCAUUUAGUUCACUGGUUCUUGAGCGGACAAAGGUUGGAGAGUUGUUUAAACAGUGUGCAAGUGAGUUGAAAGAAGCCAAACUGCUGAACAUAAUUCAACUGUGUCCAAAAAAAAAAAAAAAAACACAGAUGAUUGAUAAUGGAGAAGUAACCGGGGGCUUGGGAGGGCAAAGAUGGAUCUUGUUAGCAGCCUGUUGGAACCAGAACCAACAAAAAGAGCAAUUGUUGCCAAGUUUUUCUCACAUAGAGAAUGGAGGUGAGAGGGGUGCUGUUGGCGUUGUGCAAUAUGAGAAGAGAACAAAUGAAUCUUAAGGAAGUGCGUUUAGCAAUUGCAGAAGCAGGUGAUGGAAGAGAGCUUUCUGCUCUUUGUCGAAGCCAGACGUGAGUGCCUGCCGCUAAGGACUCAGACUUGUUCUUUCUUCUCCCAUUUUUGAUUAGUUAGGUUUUCUGUUGCUAAUUAUUCUGUAUUAUCUUUAAUAAAUUAUCUCUUCUACUUACA